rnacentral:tRNA from 1 species
GGAGGGGUGCGAGAGCGGUUGAAUCGGGCAGUCUCGAAAACUGCUAUGGCCGAAAGGUCAUCGUGGGUUCGAAUCCCACCCCCUCCG